rnacentral:lncRNA from 1 species
CCCCGCCGCUGCCGGGCUGGCUCCCUGUGCCUGCCGAGCGCCGGGACACCGCCGGCUCUGGAGCCUGGCUGCAGCCGAGAUGCGGUCCCAGAGGCGAGGGCAGCUGCCCCGCUCGGCCCGGCCAGCUCAGGACGGCUCUGAGGGCGGCGCUUCUCCUGGCACAGGACCCUGCUGAUUGCCCUUCCCAGACGCAGGCAGGCAGCUGGAGCGAGCGUGCCUGCAUGAUCCCUCCACAGCCCGUGAGAGGGAAUGCCUGGGCACCCCUGGGAGCCUGGCCCAAUCUCAGAUGCCAACCAGGCUACAGGUGCAUGCUGGAGGCAGAAGCUGGGCUGGUGGAGCUUGGGAGCUGUGUCUGCAGCUGGUCUGCUGCCUCCAGGAACACCAACCAGUGCUGUGUAGCACCACUUUGCAAAUUGUGAAGAUUAUUCAGUUACCACUUUGCUUAAACAUAGUAUGUGUUGCUGAGAAUCUGGCACUACUAUUCAAAAGUAAAAGAAGAAGUGGGCUCUGUGUCCUGGAACUGCAGUGUCGUGCUUCUGCACGGCACGCACGCUUUGCCUCCAGUGCAGAGUGAUCCUGCUGAGACUGGAGGAAUGCAUGGGGAACGGAGGCUUGCCACAACAUCCUGUCUCCAUUAUGUCUUUUGGACCUCUGCCACAGAAAAGAAGGAAUUUUAUCCUUCAUUUGUAAGUAAUUAAGAUGAUAGCAGAGUUUGAAUUUUCCAACUUUGUGAAAACAAACUAAUAGCAAUGAUCCACUUCAAUAACUCAGAUACUAAUUGACACAAGAGAGAGAAACAAUACAUUAAAAAAUAAUUAACUUUUGUUAAUUAAUUUUUAGGAAUAGGAAGGACACCUGCAGCAUGUGCAGAUGUUUGCAAGUGUCAUUAGACUGGGAAGGUUGUGCAGUAGUUUGGAAAUAGAAACAGGUAAAAAGGACUAGGAAUGAUCUGCAGCACCAUUUGAGAAGUAAAGUAUGUGAUUGCUAGAGAACUGCAAUAAAGGUGAUGAAGAUGUGCA